GACCUGGUGGUGAAUGGUUCACACUCACUCUCAUUGUAUUCUGCCGAAAUAAAUGAAGUGCGAGUUCCCGGUUCAAUUCCGGGUCAGGUCA